UGGAGCAAAACUUCAAAAAUAGGUCUCAGUUCGGACUGUAGGCUGCAACUCGCCUACACGAAGUUGGAAUUGCUAGUAAUCGUGGAUCAGCAUGCCACGGUGAAUACGUUCCCGGGUCUUGUACACACCGCCCGUCACACCAUGGGAGCUGGUAACACCCGAAGUCAGUAGUCUAACCGCAAGGAGGACGCUGCCGAAGGUGGGAUUAGCGACUGGGGUGAAGUCGUAACAAGGUAAC
rnacentral:rRNA from 1 species